UCACUCACUGUUUUAUUAAUCCCAACGCAAAAGAAGUACAGAUAUGAUAGUUUGGCUUCACUUCAUUUUCAUUUGCACACUUUUCCAAGAUGCUAAAUUGGAAGUGAAAUUGGAAGAGUCUGGAGGGGGUCUAAAAAGGCCUGGAGACUCCCUUUUAAUGUCUUGUAAAGCUUCUGGUUUUACGUUCAGCACUUCUGGUUUUACGUUCAGCAGCUACUACAUGCUUUGGAUGAGACAAGCUCCUGGAAAGGGCCUGGAAUGGGUUGCAGAGAUAGGUACAUCCUCAAGUCCCCUUCUCUACUCGGAUGCAGUGAGAGGACGCUUCAUCAUCUCCAGGGAUGAUUCGAACAGUCUGCUAUAUUUGCAAAUGAACAGCCUGAAAACAGAAGACUCUGCAGUGUAUUACUGUGUAAGGCGCACAGUGAAAGAAACUGAACAGGAAGAUAACCAAAAAGUCAGAUCCUCAGAUCCAUCUACGAAGGUUGAAUGA